GACGAACGCUGGCGGCGUGCUUAACACAUGCAAGUCGAACGGAAAGGCCCUGCUUUUGUGGGGUGCACGAGUGGCGAACGGGUGAGUAACACGUGAGUAACCUGCCCUUGACUUUGGGAUAACUUCAGGAAACUGGGGCUAAUACCGGAUAGGAGCUCCUGCUGCAUGGUGGGGGUUGGAAAGUUUCGGCGGUUGGGGAUGGACUCGCGGCUUAUCAACUUGUUGGUGGGGUAGUGGCUUACCAAGGCUUUGACGGGUAGCCGGCCUGAGAGGGUGACCGGCCACAUUGGGACUGAGAUACGGCCCAGACUCCUACGGGAGGCAGCAGUGGGGAAUAUUGCACAAUGGGCGGAAGCCUGAUGCAGCAACGCCGCGUGCGGGAUGACGGCCUUCGGGUUGUAAACCGCUUUCGCCUGUGACGAAGCGUGAGUGACGGUAAUGGGUAAAGAAGCACCGGCUAACUACGUG
rnacentral:rRNA from 1 species